AAAAAUCGUGAUAAAUUUCUUCUUACUAGAGUCAAACCGUGGUCAGCAUCAUGGUUCCCUUUCUGAAUUUCAUAGAGCGAAAAAACAAUUAUAACUUGUUCCCUUUUUGAAUUUCAUAGAGAGCUAAGUGAAAAUUAUUCCCUCCGAAACUCAUCAAAACCCCCAUCUUACGAUUAUUCAGAAGCUGUGAACUUCAAGCCAAACAAACAUUGUCCUCGUUACAAUUCUUCUCCCAAACCCUAACCCUUUCUUCCCUUAUCCUUCUUCUCAAACCCUUCAAAUUGCAUACAGAGAGUUAGGAUUUUAAGGUUUUAUCCAGUCGAUAACGCUUAAGAACAGUCUGGAUGAAAUUCAAGUAUUUCACAAAAUCAUGUCAAUCAAGGGUUUCACAAAAUCAUCAAUCAAAGGUUUCAAGUAAGUAUUUCAACGGCAACAACAAUUUCCCUGAAAGCUGCAAUGGUCAUUAGCAUGUGAUGAAAUAAAUUCUAAUAAAGAGGAAUAGUUCAUUUUCAAGUUGUGUACAAUUUGUCCCCCAAGUAAGAGCUUCCUUAAACUUGUGUAUGAUCUCUCCUUCAACUUCCUUACAAGCUUCAUUUAACAUGUACAAUCUCUCCUUCAAAUUUCUCUUUUCUCUAUGUUCGAAUCUAACCCUUUCUUUAUCGUAGGUCUCAAACUCUAACAAUUAAAGACUUUGUUUGUUCAAAAUUUCCCAAACCUCAAAUGAUUUUCAAACUUUUUUCCAUUCAGUAUUGUGAUUCCCAACAAAAAAUGGUUAUUUUUACUCUAAUUUAUGAUUUAAUCAAUUUUUCUUCUUUCAUAUAUAUUGUAGAAAUAACUUUGCUUUUCUCUGUUGGAACCACUCGUAGCUGAGACAAUGUGCGAGAGUUCAAUUCAUCCUGGUAACAAAACAAUUUAGUGCUACAUUAUUAUGUUGAGAAACUUGUUCUUGUUUCUACUGAUUUGGUGUUGUGGUGCUUACCUAUGAUGCAUAGGUACGUGUACGGUAGUCGGUGCGGGUACUGGUACCGGUACAGGAUACAGGAUACGACAUUUUAAAAAAAACCAAGAAGGAACACGUGUAAAACAAGAUGUACCAACAUGUGGACUAUAACAUUUAAUCUCUUGGAAACAGACAUAUGAGAAUUGCAGUUGGUUCAGAUUUCGUCUAUCCAAGAUUCUCUCCACAAUAGAAGAUUUGGAAGUCAAGGAGAAGAGUUUAUUUGGAUGUUCUAGUGCAACAUGUGGAACACGGUUAUACAACAUCUGACUUUGACAACAGGCCAUGUUGAAUGUUGUUUGAUGCAUAUUUUUUGAUUGAUUUUUAAUAAGAUUUGAUGCAAUUAUUUUUAGUAAUGUUUGGUUAAUUUAUUUGAUAGUUGGAGAUGUUCAAAUUAGAUUUAAACUUGAUUUAAAUUUGAAUUUGAAAUAUAACAAAUCAUAUCUUUUUGAGA